rnacentral:rRNA from 1 species
GACGAACGCUGGCGGCGUGCUUAACACAUGCAAGUCGAACGGUGAAGGUGGGAGUUUGCUCCUGCCGGAUCAGUGGCGAACGGGUGAGUAACACGUGAGUAACCUGCCCUUGACUCUGGAAUAAGCGUUGGAAACGACGUCUAAUACCGGAUACGAGCUUCAGCCGCAUGGCUAGGAGUUGGAAAGAUUUUUCGGUCAAGGAUGGACUCGCGGCCUAUCAGCUUGUUGGUGAGGUAAUGGCUCACCAAGGCGACGACGGGUAGCCGGCCUGAGGGGGUGGCCGGCCACACUGGGACUGGGGCACGGCCCAGACUCCUACGGGAGGCAGCAGUGGGGAAUAUUGCACAAUGGGCGCAAGCCUGAUGCAGCAACGCCGCGUGAGGGACGACGGCCUUCGGGUUGUAAACCUCUUUUAGCGGGGAAGAAGCGCAAGUGACGGUACCUGCAGAAAAAGCACCGGCUAACUACGUGCCAGCCGCCGCAGUAA